AACAGGCAUGCGUGAAGUGCUGUCUGGCCAGUGUCAAUACGAAAUUUUAUAUUCAUUUCCAUUAAAACAAUACACAUUUACUGUUCUAUUACGAGUUAAUAAUUAUCGCAGCAGUUGCAAGGGACAGCUUGAUGCAUAGGUGAACAGUUAACAACAUUGGAAAGCAUAAAGACUGAAGUGAUAGCUGAAAAAAAGUUAACUGACAUGGAGGACUGGAAGCCAUCUGAAUAUUGGAAAAGAGUUACUUAUAUCAUGAUGAUUCAUGCUAGUAUGACUAUGUUAUUACUGACUGAAUGGUGAAGGACAACAUCAAACCCACUAGAAUUAACUCUAGACACUAGAAGGAUGAAACUAAAAACACUAAAGGCAUUCAGUCUGACCCCACAACCCAAUUUCUUAUAAAGGCACAAGGCCAAACACUUUGUGGAGGAUGGAUUAAUUAAAUGCACUCCAAUUAAAUGACUGAAAAAAUAAAAGAAUAUUUAAUUGAUGAUAAUGUAUACAGUAAAGACAAAAUAAACGAAUAUUAUUUUGUAUAAUUAUAA